rnacentral:rRNA from 1 species
CACUGUCCGUAAUGGGACAGUACGUUCACGUGAAUACAUAGCGUGAUCGUGGCACACCCGGAGAACUGAAACAUCUAAGUACCCGGAGGAAGAGAAAGAAAAUCGAUUCCCUUAGUAGCGGCGAGCGAAACGGGAAGAGCCCAAACCAGGAAGCUUGCUUCCUGGGGUUGUAGGACACUCUAUACGGAGUUACAAAGGAAUGCAUUAGACGAAGCGAWCUGGAAAGAUCCGCCGCAGUGGGUAACAGYCCCGUAGUCGAAAGUGCAUUCCCUCCAGAGUGGAUCCUGAGUACGGCGGAACACGUGAAAUUCCGUCGGAAUCCGGGAGGACCAUCUCCCAAGGCUAAAUACUCCCUAGUGACCGAUAGUGAACCAGUACCGUGAGGGAAAGGUGAAAAGCACCCCGGAAGGGGAGUGAAAUAGAACCUGAAACCGUGUGCCUACAAAUUGUCAGAGCCCGUUAAUGGGUGAUGGCGUGCCUUUUGUAGAAUGAACCGGCGAGUUACGAUUCCAUGCAAGGUUAAGCUGAGAAAGCGGAGCCGCAGCGAAAGCGAGUCUGAAUAGGGCGCAUGAGUAUGGGGUCGUAGACCCGAAACCAGGUGAUCUACCCAUGUCCAGGGUGAAGGUCAGGUAACACUGACUGGAGGCCCGAACCCACGUAUGUUGAAAAAUGCGGGGAUGAGGUGUGGGUAGCGGUGAAAUUCCAAUCGAACCUGGAGAUAGCUGGUUCUCUCCGAAAUAGCUUUAGGGCUAGCCUCAAACGAAAGAAUCUCGGAGGUAGAGCACUGUUUGGACGAGGGGCCCAUCCCGGGUUACCGAAUUCAGACAAACUCCGAAUGCCGAUGAUUUAUGUUUGGGAGUCAGACGGUGGGUGAUAAGAUCCAUCGUCGAGAGGGAAACAGCCCAGACCACCAGUUAAGGUCCCCAAGUAUCCGUUAAGUGGAAAAGGAUGUGGCGCUGCCCAGACAACCAGGAUGUUGGCUUAGAAGCAGCCAUCAUUUAAAGAGUGCGUAAUAGCUCACUGGUCGAGUGGCGCUGCGCCGAAAAUGUACCGGGGCUAAACGGAUCACCGAAACUGUGGAUUGACGCAAGUCAAUGGUAGGAGAGCGUUCCAAGGGCGUUGAAGCUAGACCGGAAGGACUGGUGGAGCGCUUGGAAGUGAGAAUGCCGGUAUGAGUAGCGAAAGAAGGGUGAGAAUCCCUUCCACCGAAUGCCUAAGGUUUCCUGAGGAAGGCUCGUCCGCUCAGGGUUAGUCAGGACCUAAGUCGAGGCCGAUAGGCGUAGACGAUGGACAACAGGUUGAUAUUCCUGUACCACCUCCCCGCCGUUUGAGUAAUGGGGGGACGCAGUAGGAUAGGGUGAGCACGCAGUUGGUUGCGUGUCUAAGCAGUGAGGUGGAGAACGAGGCAAAUCCCGUUCUCAUAUAACACUAGGCUGUGAUGGCAAGGAGAAUUGUCUCCGGAGUCCCUGAUUUCACACUGCCAAGAAAAGCCUCUAGCGAGGCGGGAGGUGCCUGUACCGCAAACCGACACAGGUAGGCGAGGAGAGAAUCCUAAGGUGAUCGAGAGAACUCUCGUUAAGGAACUCGGCAAAAUGACCCCGUAACUUCGGGAGAAGGGGUGCUCUGGUAGGGUGAAUAGCCCGAGAGAGCCGCAGUGAAUAGGCCCAGGCGACUGUUUAGCAAAAACACAGGUCUCUGCAAAACCGUAAGGUGACGUAUAGGGGCUGACGCCUGCCCGGUGCUGGAAGGUUAAGAGGAGGGGUUAGCGCAAGCGAAGCUCUGAAUUGAAGCCCCAGUAAACGGCGGCCGUAACUAUAACGGUCCUAAGGUAGCGAAAUUCCUUGUCGGGUAAGUUCCGACCCGCACGAAAGGCGUAACGAUCUGGGCACUGUCUCAACGAGAGACUCGGUGAAAUUAUAAUAUGCGUGAAGAUGCGCAUUACCCGCGACAGGACGGAAAGACCCCGUGGAGCUUUACUGUAGCCUGAUAUUGAAUUCCGGUGCAGCCUGUACAGGAUAGGUAGGAGCCUUGGAUUCCGGAGCGCCAGCUUCGGAGGAGGCGUUGGUGGGAUACUACCCUGGCUGUAUUGGACUUCUAACCCAUGCCCGUGAUCCGGGCAGGAGACAGUGUCAGGUGGGC